rnacentral:rRNA from 1 species
UACAGAGGUCUCGAGCGUUAGGCGGAAUCACUGGGCUUAAAGCGUGUGUAGGUGGAUCGUUAAGUACCUUGUGAAAUCCCACGGCUUAACCGUGGAACUGCUUGGUAUACUGGCGGUCUUGAGUCAGCUAGGGGCUACCGGAACAAGUGGUGGAGCGGUGAAAUGCGUAGAUAUCACUUGGAACGCCGACGGUGAAAACAGCUCGCUGGGCGUGUGCUGACGCUGAGGCGCGAAAGCCAGGGGAGCGAACGGG